ACUCGUGAUAUGUUAGUGCUGCUCAACCUUUUUUUUUUUGUGUGAUUGUGUGUCGAGCGUAUGCACACAUGCAGCCUUUUCCCCCGUGAUUUCAGGUGCAUCUGCGAGUGCCGGGCCUCCGUUGGGAAGCGCUGAUGGAUCCGAGACCGAAAGUGUGCCAUCGAGACUUCAUGCUGGACCAUCUACCACUUCCUCAGGAUCACGAACGGAUCCGCAAGUGCUUGCCUUUAUGGAGAGGAUAUUGCCAAGGCUGAAUACAAUUAACGUUGUGCAAUAGACGCACACACAGCUCUUGCCUGAACUUAAGACAAAUGCUGAAGAAGUAUGCCCAGAGAGCCACACGCUUCCCGAUGUGCCAUUUUUGACCACAAGUGACAUGGUUGAUUGGGAUGCUGAACUUGGGGUCAACAAGGAAGCAAAGCUUCAAAUGAAAAGACACAUAGUUGUCCAAGGUGGCGACACCAUAAAGAAGACUGCACGCAUCUUAAAGAGCAUCAUGUCUUGGGAUGUGGCAAAGCAGUUCAGUUGGUUUGGUGCAAAAGGAAAAAUGAAGUUUUGCGAGCUGAAUGUUUCCAAGCUACUGUGCACCUGCCUGAUAGAAAAUAUCAAGCAGAAUCAGGAGGAGGCUACGUUGAAAAACAUAGAAAAGGCAGCCAUGUCUUGGUUCCGCCAUGCUGCCGAACGGGCAGCAGCAGGGCAACAAAGGCAACAACCACCACUGAACAGAACAUCAGAACAGGACAACGAAACCCUCAUUUGAGACAGUGCACCUUAAUUAUUGCUCCAUUUUGCAAUAAAUACUUUUGG